rnacentral:rRNA from 1 species
GAUUAUGGCUCAGAACGAACGCUGGCGGCGCGUUUAAGCAUGCAAGUCGAGCGGCAAGGGCCUUCGGGCCCCUAGAGCGGCGGACGGGUGAGUAACACGUGGACAAUCUGCCCCCCGGCCCGGGAUAGCCCAGGGAAACCUGGAUUAAUACCGGAUGAGACGGGACCCGCGAUGGCGGGAUCCGGGAAAGGCGCUGCGGCGCCGCCGGGGGAUGAGUCUGCGUCCCAUUAGCUAGACGGCGGGGUAACGGCCCACCGUGGCGACGAUGGGUAGCCGGCCUGAGAGGGUGGACGGCCACAUUGGAACUGAGACACGGUCCAGACUCCUACGGGAGGCAGCAGCUAAGAAUCUUCCGCAAUGGGCGAAAGCCUGACGGAGCCGACGCCGCGUGAACGAAGAAGGCCGUGAGGUUGUAAAGUUCUUUUCGGGAGGGGAACAACCGUGGCAGGGAAUGGCCGCGGGAUGACGUGAAUCCCGGAAUAAGCCCCGGCUAACUACGUGCCAGCCGCCGC